rnacentral:rRNA from 1 species
UACGGGGGGGGUAAGCGUUGUUCGGAAUUACUGGGCGUAAAGGGCGCGUAGGCGGCCUGCUAAGUCACACGUGAAAUCCCUCGGCUCAACCGGGGAACUGCGUGUGAUACUGGCGGGCUUGAAUUCGGGAGAGGGAUGUGGAAUUCCAGGUGUAGCGGUGAAAUGCGUAGAUAUCUGGAGGAACACCGGUGGCGAAGGCGGCAUCCUGGACCGAGAUUGACGCUGAGGCGCGAAAGCUAGGGGAGCAAACGGG